rnacentral:rRNA from 1 species
CCUACGGGUGGCAGCAGUGGGGAAUAUUGGGCAAUGGGCGCAAGCCUGACCCAGCAACGCCGCGUGAAGGAAGAAGGCUUUCGGGUUGUAAACUUCUUUUCUCAGGGACGAAGCAAGUGACGGUACCUGAGGAAUAAGCCACGGCUAACUACGUGCCAGCAGCCGCGGUAAUACGUAGGUGGCAAGCGUUAUCCGGAUUUACUGGGGGUAAAGGGCGUGCAGCCGGGAAGACAAGUCAGAUGUGAAAUCCCGCGGCUCAACCGCGGAACUGCAUUUGAAACUGGUUGUCUUGAGUAUCGGAGAGGGAGUCGGAAUUCCUGGUGUAGCGGUGAAAUGCGUAGAGAUUAGGAAGAACACCAGUGGCGAAGGCGGAUUACUGGACGACAACUGACGGUGAGGCGCGAAAGCGUGGGGAGCAAACAGGAUUAGAUACCCGGGUAGUC